GGACUGUGGCUCAGUGGCAGAGCGCUUGCCUAGCAUGCGUGAGGCACUGAGUUCGAUCCUCAGAACCA
rnacentral:tRNA from 1 species